UUGGUGAGUGGCAGUUGGUCUGAGGAAAGAGUGAGGAGAAGAACUGCUUUGGUGGCCAUUUUGAGAGGUGUGAGUGAAGACACUUUAAGAUGACAGAGACUGUCAGUGAAGCCACUGGGGUGUCAGUGUGAAGCAUAACUGAGAUAAUAGAAAUAAACAAGGUUUAGAGAUCAGUAAAUUCCAGCCUUCAUCACUGCUGUGCCUGCAUUUGAUGGAAGAGUAUGACCCUGAGAAACAUAUCAUUUAGGUUACUCAGGAUAGCCAUCUCAGAUCCGCAGCCAAGGCCAGUAAACCUGUGUCAGCAGAGGUAGACUCUGGCCUAGCCACUUCUACAAAAUGGUUGUGGUCGCCAGCUGCUCCUCACUGAAAUAAACUCUUGAGAGCUACAGUAUAAAUCCAAAGAGAGAAUGCCGUCUAUCUGAAUAGGAGAAAGUAUGAAUUGGAGGCCAUUACAAUCAAUGACAAUUUCAGAUUCAAAUCCAUUUCUCCUUUGUUUGGACAUUUUUAAUUAUAGACAUGUUAUGCGCUGCAAUUUAGACACCUCUCUUUUCUCAUGUAUAUGUGCAUCAGCAACAAAGUAUGUGUCAAACUUAGGAUUUAUACAUUAUAAAUCUCACUGCCCACAUUUGUUAAAAUAUACCAGAAAAUAAAUAAUAUAUAUCUACCUUA